CAGACAGACUCCCAGGGAUCACGACUGUCUUCUGAAGCUCCAGGUGACAUCAGUUCUGGAGAAGUCAUCUGUGAUGCUCUCGAGAACAAGGAUGCUGAAGGAGAAACCACCGACAGAGAACGUCAAGAGGAGAAAACGACCAACACGAACCUGGACAGCUUUGAGAGCGGACACACUGUCGGAGAGCUGCUGGGAAA